rnacentral:rRNA from 1 species
GAUGAACGCUGGCGGCGUGCCUAAUACAUGCAAGUCGAGCGAACGGACGAGAAGCUUGCUUUUCUGAUGUUAGCGGCGGACGGGUGAGUAACACGUGGAUAACCUACCUAUAAGACUGGGAUAACUUCGGGAAACCGGUGCUAAUACCGGAUAAUAUUUUGAACCGCAUGGUUCAAAAGUGAAAGACGGUCUUGCUGCCACUUUUAGAUGGAUCCGCGCUGCAUUAGCUAGUUGGUAAGGUAACGGCUUACCAAGGCAACGAUGCAUAGCCGACCUGAGAGGGUGAUCCGCCACACUGGAACUGAGACACGGUCCAGACUCCUACGGGAGGCAGCAGUAGGGAAUCUUCCGCGAUGGGCGAAAGCCUGACCGAGCAACGCCGCGUGAGUGAUGAAGGUCUUCGGAUCGUAAAACUCUGUUAUUAGGGAAGAACAUAUGUGUAAGUAACUGUGCACAUCUUGACGGUACCUAAUCAGAAAGCCACGGCUAACUACGUG